rnacentral:rRNA from 1 species
AGAGUUUGAUCCUGGCUCAGAACGAACGCUGGCGGCGUGCUUAACACAUGCAAGUCGAACGGACUUAGGGGCUUGCUCCUAAGUUAGUGGCGCACGGGUGAGUAACGCGUGGAUAAUCUGCCCGAUGAUCUGGGAUAACAUCUCGAAAGGGGUGCUAAUACCGGAUAAGCCCACGGGCUCUUCGGAGCUUGCGGGAAAAGAGGGGGACCUUCGGGCCUCUUGUCAUCGGAUGAGUCCGCGUACCAUUAGCUAGUUGGUGGGGUAAAGGCCCACCAAGGCGACGAUGGUUAGCUGGUCUGAGAGGAUGAUCAGCCACACUGGAACUGAGACACGGUCCAGACUCCUACGGGAGGCAGCAGUGGGGAAUUUUGCGCAAUGGGGGAAACCCUGACGCAGCAACGCCGCGUGAGUGAUGAAGGCCUUCGGGUCGUAAAGCUCUGUCUAGAGGAAAGAAGUGUGAGGUGGUUAAUACCCACUUUACUUGACGGUACCUCUGAAGGAAGCACCGGCUAACUCCGUGCCAGCAGCCGCGGUAAUACGGAGGGUGCGAGCGUUGUUCGGAUUUAUUGGGCGUAAAGCGCGUGUAGGCGGUUUCUUAAGUCUGAUGUGAAAGCCCCGGGCUCAACCUGGGAAGUGCAUUGGAUACUGGGAGACUUGAGUACGGGAGAGGGUAGUGGAAUUCCUAGUGUAGGAGUGAAAUCCGUAGAUAUUAGGAGGAACACCGGUGGCGAAGGCGGCUGCCUGGACCGAUACUGACGCUGAGACGCGAAAGCGUGGGGAGCAAACAGGAUUAGAUACCCUGGUAGUCCACGCCGUAAACGAUGAGAACUAGGUGUUGCGGGUAUUGACCCCUGCAGUGCCGCAGCUAACGCAUUAAGUUCUCCGCCUGGGAAGUACGGUCGCAAGACUAAAACUCAAAGGAAUUGAUGG